rnacentral:rRNA from 1 species
CCGGGUUGCGGACAGUGUCUGGUGGGUAGUUUGACUGGGGCGGUCUCCUCCCAAAGAGUAACGGAGGAGCACGAAGGUUGGCUAAUCCUGGUCGGACAUCAGGAGGUUAGUGCAAUGGCAUAAGCCAGCUUGACUGCGAGCGUGACGGCGCGAGCAGGUGCGAAAGCAGGUCAUAGUGAUCCGGUGGUUCUGAAUGGAAGGGCCAUCGCUCAACGGAUAAAAGGUACUCCGGGGAUAACAGGCUGAUACCGCCCAAGAGUUCAUAUCGACGGCGGUGUUUGGCACCUCGAUGUCGGCUCAUCACAUCCUGGGGCUGAAGUAGGUCCCAAGGGUAUGGCUGUUCGCCAUUUAAAGUGGUACGCGAGCUGGGUUUAGAACGUCGUGAGACAGUUCGGUCCCUAUCUGCCGUGGGCGCUGGAGAAUUGAGGGGGGCUGCUCCUAGUACGAGAGGACCGGAGUGGACGCAUCACUGGUGUUCGGGUUGUCAUGCCAAUGGCACUGCCCGGUAGCUAAAUGCGGAAGAGAUAAGUGCUGAAAGCAUCUAAGCACGAAACUUGCCCCGAGAUGAGUUCUCCCUGAGACCUUGAGUCUCCUGAAGGAACGUUGAAGACGACGACGUUGAUAGGUCGGGUGUGUAAGCGCAGCGAUGCGUUGAGCUAACCGAUACUAAUGAACCGUGAGGCUUAACCUU